rnacentral:lncRNA from 1 species
UUAACAAGCAAGUUUGAGAACCAGUGAUUGACGGAUCAUUUCUAGGAAGUCCUAUCAAAAUAGUCAUCUCCUCUGUUUUGUUGAGUUUCAGGUGUACACCAUCGUGAUUUGAUAUUUUUACACAUUGCAAAAUGAUCAUCGUGGAAUUGGAUCAGUCAAGACCCAUCUAGAAAUUGGAAACCAUUCUAGUCCUCUCAAAUUAAAAAGUGAUUACACAGUUGUUGGAAGACCUGGAGAACAAAAAGAGGACUCAAGAAACUGAAGAAUUAGUAAUUACAGGAAGCAGCUACGGCUUCUGAGUCUAGGGAAAAAAAGGAAGAGGUGGGGUUAUAAGAACCUAAUAGCUGAGACGAAGGGGCCUAACAGAGGUGGUGCUCAGACCUCUGUAGAGGGGGCAUUUCUCAAUGCUUCUGUUAGCUGUGGGGGACACAGUCAGGGUGGCUCUGAAAAUGACAAAAAAUAGGAAUUUGGAGAUUAAAGCUCACUGCUCUUCCAGAGCAGCACUGAUGGGGACAGCAGAAACAGGAAGUAAAUACCUGCUCCACUACUCCCACUUGCCAAAGCUUUCUUUAAUGCCCGCUGUCUGACCUAACUUGAAGCCAGCUCACAAUGAAAUGAAUACCAACGAUAGAAUCAGAACAGAGAAUAGAGGGUUUAAUCUACUGCCGAGAAACAAUAGAUAAAUAAUCUUCGCUGAAAAAAGCAACCUUUUUU